AGAGCAACAAAUAUCCUAUACUUCUAAAUAUUCAAAAGAAGCUUAGAUGUAUUUAACUUUCUCAUGGGCACAUGGGAGAAUUGAAGAGCAAAUGGUUUUCGUGUCGAUGAUAUCCAGUUUAUCAGAUUUCCUCUUGAGCAUGGUGCUUUUGAUGUCGAGUCAAGGAACCCUUCAGUCCUAGAUCCUGAAGAUUUUCUCCUAUGUGACCACCCUAACACAUGACAAGGUGAACAAGAGUCUGUUAACUGGUACGCGUGCACGAUCAGUCACUUCAGUUGUGUCUGACUCUUUGUGACCCCUCGGAUUGUAGCCUUCCAGGCACCACUGCUCAAGGGAUUUCCCAGGCAAGAACACUGGAAUGGUUUUCCAUUUCAUCUUCCAGAGUGUCAACCCAACCCAGGGAUCAGACCUGUGUCUCCUGCAUUGGCGGGCAGAUUCUUUACCACUGAUCCACCUGAG